AUUGAACGCUGGCGGCAUGCCUUACACAUGCAAGUCGAACGGUAACAGGUCUUCGGAUGCUGACGAGUGGCGAGCGGGUGAGUAAUACAUCGGAACGUGCCUAGUAGUGGGGGAUAACUACUCGAAAGAGUGGCUAAUACCGCAUGAGAUCUACGGAUGAAAGCAGGGGAUCGCAAGACCUUGUGCUACUAGAGCGGCCGAUGGCAGAUUAGGUAGUUGGUGGGAUAAAAGCUUACCAAGCCGACGAUCUGUAGCUGGUCUGAGAGGACGAUCAGCCAUACUGGGACUGAGACACGGCCCAGACUCCUACGGGAGGCAGCAGUGGGGAAUUUUGGACAAUGGGCGCAAGCCUGAUCCAGCAGUGCCGCGUGCAGGAUGAAGGCCUUCGGGUUGUAAACUGCUUUUGUACGGAACGAAAAGCCCUGGGUUAAUACCCUGGGGUCAUGACGGUACCGUAAGAAUAAGCACCGGCUAACUACGUGCCAGCAGCCGCCGUAACAC
rnacentral:rRNA from 1 species